CUCCGUGUAGCUCAAUGGAUAGAGCAACGGCCUUCUAAGCCGUAGGUUGUAGGUUCGACCCCUACCACGGAGGCCA
rnacentral:tRNA from 1 species